GCUAGCGUAGCAAAACCUGGCAAAUGCUAAAGACUUAAACCCUUUAUUCUAGAGGUUCAAAUCCUCUCCCUAGCC
rnacentral:tRNA from 1 species